rnacentral:rRNA from 1 species
GAGCGAACAGACGAGGAGCUUGCUCCUCUGACGUUAGCGGCGGACGGGUGAGUAACACGUGGAUAACCUACCUAUAAGACUGGGAUAACUUCGGGAAACCGGAGCUAAUACCGGAUAAUAUAUUGAACCGCAUGGUUCAAUAGUGAAAGACGGUUUUGCUGUCACUUAUAGAUGGAUCCGCGCCGCAUUAGCUAGUUGGUAAGGUAACGGCUUACCAAGGCAACGAUGCGUAGCCGACCUGAGAGGGUGAUCGGCCACACUGGAACUGAGACACGGUCCAGACUCCUACGGGAGGCAGCAGUAGGGAAUCUUCCGCAAUGGGCGAAAGCCUGACGGAGCAACGCCGCGUGAGUGAUGAAGGUCUUCGGAUCGUAAAACUCUGUUAUUAGGGAAGAACAAAUGUGUAAGUAACUAUGCACGUCUUGACGGUACCUAAUCAGAAAGCCACGGCUAACUACGUGCCAGCAGCCGCGGUAAUACGUAGGUGGCAAGCGUUAUCCGGAAUUAUUGGGCGUAAAGCGCGCGUAGGCGGUUUUUUAAGUCUGAUGUGAAAGCCCACGGCUCAACCGUGGAGGGUCAUUGGAAACUGGAAAACUUGAGUGCAGAAGAGGAAAGUGGAAUUCCAUGUGUAGCGGUGAAAUGCGCAGAGAUAUGGAGGAACACCAGUGGCGAAGGCGACUUUCUGGUCUGUAACUGACGCUGAUGUGCGAAAGCGUGGGGAUCAAACAGGAUUAGAUACCCUGGUAGUCCACGCCGUAAACGAUGAGUGCUAAGUGUUAGGGGGUUUCCGCCCCUUAGUGCUGCAGCUAACGCAUUAAG